rnacentral:rRNA from 1 species
CUGGCGGCGUGCCUAACACAUGCAAGUCGAGCGAGGAGAUUCCUCGGGAUGAUCCUAGCGGCGGACGGGUGAGUAACACGUGGGCAACCUGCCUCAUAGAGAGGAAUAGCCUUCCGAAAGGGAGAUUAAUACCUCAUAACAUUGCAGUUUCGCAUGGAACAGCAAUUAAAGGAGCAAUCCGCUAUGAGAUGGGCCCGCGGCGCAUUAGCUAGUUGGUGAGGUAACGGCUCACCAAGGCGACGAUGCGUAGCCGACCUGAGAGGGUGAUCGGCCACAUUGGGACUGAGACACGGCCCAGACUCCUACGGGAGGCAGCAGUGGGGAAUAUUGCACAAUGGGGGAAACCCUGAUGCAAGCAACGCCGCGUGAGUGAUGACGGCCUUCGGGUUGUAAAGCUCUGUCUUCAGGGACGAUAAUGACGGUACCUGAGGAGGAAGCCACGGCUAACCACGUGCCAGCAGCCGC